rnacentral:rRNA from 1 species
AGGGUAUCACUCACUGAAUACAUAGGUGUGUGAGGCGAACGCGGCGAACUGAAACAUCUAAGUAGCUGCAGGAAAAUAAAUCAACCGAGAUUCCCAAAGUAGUGGCGAGCGAAAUGGGAAGAGCCUGCAUGAUUUAGCAUGACGCAUAAUGGAACGAAUUGGAAACUUCGGCCAUAGAGGGUGAUAGCCCCUUACAUGAAAUGCGAUGUGUGGAACUAAGUAUGCGACAAGUAGGGCGGGACACGAGAAAUCCUGUCUGAAUAUGGGGGGACCAUCCUCCAAGGCUAAAUACUCGUAAUCGACCGAUAGUGAACCAGUACCGUGAGGGAAAGGCGAAAAGAACCCCGGGAG